rnacentral:lncRNA from 1 species
CAUGCGCGCGCGCGCGCAUGUGUGAUAUGUCGGGUGUACGCGCUGUGCGCGGGGAUGCUGUGUAUGGUACUUACAUUAAAGGGCUGAUAUCCAGCAAUUGAACUUGUGAUGAUAAUAGAAGUUAUGAUGACUUUUUGCGAUGGCGUGCCAGCUUUUGAUCCACAUUUUUCAAUUUUUCUAAGUACAUCUAAUC